rnacentral:rRNA from 1 species
CCUACGGGAGGCAGCAGUGAGGAAUAUUGGUCAAUGGGCGGAAGACUGAACCAGCCAAGUAGCGUGCAGGAUGACGGCCCUACGGGUUGUAAACUGCUUUUAUACGGGAAUAACGUGCGUUACGUGUAGGGUUUUGCAUGUACCGCAUGAAUAAGGACCGGCUAAUUCCGUGCCAGCAGCCGCGGUAAUACGGAAGGUCCGGGCGUUAUCCGGAUUUAUUGGGUUUAAAGGGAGCGUAGGCCGCAUGUCAAGCGUGCUGUGAAAUGGCUGGGCUCAACCCGGGCCUUGCAGCGCGAACUGGCGUGCUUGAGUCCGCGGAAAGCAGGCGGAAUUCGUGGUGUAGCGGUGAAAUGCUUAGAUAUCACGAAGAACCCCGAUUGCGAAGGCAGCUUGCUGCAGCGCAACUGACGCUGAUGCUCGAAGGCGCGGGUAUCGAACAGGAUUAGAUACCCGAGUAGUC